CGGGUGAGUAACGCGUGGAUAACCUGCCUCACACUGGGGGAUAACAGUUAGAAAUGACUGCUAAUACCGCAUAAGCGCACAGUACCGCAUGGUACAGUGUGAAAAACUCCGGUGGUGUGAGAUGGAUCCGCGUCUGAUUAGCCAGUUGGCGGGGUAACGGCCUACCAAAGCGACGAUCAGUAGCCGACCUGAGAGGGUGACCGGCCACAUUGGGACUGAGACACGGCCCAA
rnacentral:rRNA from 1 species